CACUCCUCGGUUUAAUCCAUCCCUUGUGGCUACUUGGACCAUUUCAGUUUGGAUGCAAAGCUUUCUGCGUUGACCUUGUACAGUUAUAAAUGUUUUAACAUCCAUAAAAAAAUAAAAAUGUAUGCUCUCAUAAAAAGCAGCACACAGACAACACAGUAAGGAGUGGGAAGAUUUGAGGCUGCGCAACACUGGUCUCCUUCAGGCCCGGCAUUGCUGCGAGCUCCCAGCGCAUCCUGAAUUUAAUGGCUGAGAAUAUGGUUCUCGCAGGCUUUUUAGAGAGCAUUAUAUUAGUGUGACUAUCGAUGAGAAGAUCAGCCCCAAGGAUGAGGAUAUGAACCCAAGAAUACCUGUUGUAUUGCAAAGUCACAUAGCUGCAUUGCACAGGGCCAGAACAAAGAUAAGAUCAAACGGGAAGGAGAAAAAACUGCAAAUGUGGAAG